UACGGGGGGGGGCAAGCGUUGUUCGGAAUUAUUGGGCGUAAAGGGCUCGUAGGCGGUUUGUCGCGUCGGGAGUGAAAACCCAGGGCUUAACCCUGGGCUGGCUUCCGAUACGGGCAGACUAGAGGUAUGCAGGGGAGAACGGAAUUCCUGGUGUAGCGGUGAAAUGCGCAGAUAUCAGGAGGAACACCGAUGGCGAAGGCAGUGUUCUGGGCCAGUACUGACGCUGAGGAGCGAAAGGCGUGGGGAGCAAACAGG
rnacentral:rRNA from 1 species